rnacentral:rRNA from 1 species
UGCAAGUCGAGCGAACUGAUUAGAAGCUUGCUUCUAUGACGUUAGCGGCGGACGGGUGAGUAACACGUGGGCAACCUGCCUGUAAGACUGGGAUAACUUCGGGAAACCGAAGCUAAUACCGGAUAGGAUCUUCUCCUUCAUGGGAGAUGAUUGAAAGAUGGUUUCGGCUAUCACUUACAGAUGGGCCCGCGGUGCAUUAGCUAGUUGGUGAGGUAACGGCUCACCAAGGCAACGAUGCAUAGCCGACCUGAGAGGGUGAUCGGCCACACUGGGACUGAGACACGGCCCAGACUCCUACGGGAGGCAGCAGUAGGGAAUCUUCCGCAAUGGACGAAAGUCUGACGGAGCAACGCCGCGUGAGUGAUGAAGGCUUUCGGGUCGUAAAACUCUGUUGUUAGGGAAGAACAAGUACAAGAGUAACUGCUUG